UACGUAGGGGCCUAGCGUUGUCCGGAUUUAUUGGGCGUAAAGGGCUCGUAGGCGGUUCGGUAAGUCAGGUGUGAAAUCUCCACGCUCAACGUGGAGGCGCCACCUGAAACUGCCGUGACUCGAGUCCGGUAGGGGAGUGUGGAAUUCCUGGUGUAGCGGUGAAAUGCGCAGAUAUCAGGAGGAACACCGGUGGCGAAGGCGGAUCUCUGGGCCUUACCUGACGCUCAGGCGCGAAAGCUAGGGGAGCGAACAGG
rnacentral:rRNA from 1 species